AUUGAACGCUGGCGGCAGGCCUAACACAUGCAAGUCGAGCGGAUGAAGGGAGCUUGCUCCUGGAUUCAGCGGCGGACGGGUGAGUAAUGCCUAGGAAUCUGCCUGGUAGUGGGGGAUAACGUCCGGAAACGGGCGCUAAUACCGCAUACGUCCUGAGGGAGAAAGUGGGGGAUCUUCGGACCUCACGCUAUCAGAUGAGCCUAGGUCGGAUUAGCUAGUUGGUGGGGUAAAGGCCUACCAAGGCGACGAUCCGUAACUGGUCUGAGAGGAUGAUCAGUCACACUGGAACUGAGACACGGUCCAGACUCCUACGGGAGGCAGCAGUGGGGAAUAUUGGACAAUGGGCGAAAGCCUGAUCCAGCCAUGCCGCGUGUGUGAAGAAGGUCUACGGAUUGUAAAGCACUUUAAGUUGGGAGAAAGGGCAGUAAGUUAAUACCUUGCUGUUUUGACGUUACCAACAGAAUAAGCACCGGCUAACUUCGUG
rnacentral:rRNA from 1 species